GGGUUGUGAGGUUAAGCGACUAAGCGUACACGGUGGAUGCCCUGGCAGUCAGAGGCGAUGAAGGACGUGCUAAUCUGCGAUAAGCGUCGGUAAGGUGAUAUGAACCGUUAUAACCGGCGAUUUCCGAAUGGGGAAACCCAGUGUGAUUCGUCACACUAUCAUUAACUGAAUCCAUAGGUUAAUGAGGCGAACCGGGGGAACUGAAACAUCUAAGUACCCCGAGGAAAAGAAAUCAACCGAGAUUCCCCCAGUAGCGGCGAGCGAACGGGGAGGAGCCCAGAGCCUGAAUCAGUGUGUGUGUUAGUGGAAGCGUCUGGAAAGGCGCGCGAUACAGGGUGACAGCCCCGUACACAAAAAUGCACAUGCUGUGAGCUCGAUGAGUAGGGCGGGACACGUGGUAUCCUGUCUGAAUAUGGGGGGACCAUCCUCCAAGGCUAAAUACUCCUGACUGACCGAUAGUGAACCAGUACCGUGAGGGAAAGGCGAAAAGAACCCCGGCGAGGGGAGUGAAAAAGAACCUGAAACCGUGUACGUACAAGCAGUGGGAGCCUCUUUAUGGGGUGACUGCGUACCUUUUGUAUAAUGGGUCAGCGACUUAUAUUCUGUAGCAAGGUUAACCGAAUAGGGGAGCCGAAGGGAAACCGAGUCUUAACUGGGCGUUAAGUUGCAGGGUAUAGACCCGAAACCCGGUGAUCUAGCCAUGGGCAGGUUGAAGGUUGGGUAACACUAACUGGAGGACCGAACCGACUAAUGUUGAAAAAUUAGCGGAUGACUUGUGGCUGGGGGUGAAAGGCCAAUCAAACCGGGAGAUAGCUGGUUCUCCCCGAAAGCUAUUUAGGUAGCGCCUCGUGAAUUCAUCUCCGGGGGUAGAGCACUGUUUCGGCAAGGGGGUCAUCCCGACUUACCAACCCGAUGCAAACUGCGAAUACCGGAGAAUGUUAUCACGGGAGACACACGGCGGGUGCUAACGUCCGUCGUGAAGAGGGAAACAACCCAGACCGCCAGCUAAGGUCCCAAAGUCAUGGUUAAGUGGGAAACGAUGUGGGAAGGCCCAGACAGCCAGGAUGUUGGCUUAGAAGCAGCCAUCAUUUAAAGAAAGCGUAAUAGCUCACUGGUCGAGUCGGCCUGCGCGGAAGAUGUAACGGGGCUAAACCAUGCACCGAAGCUGCGGCAGCGACACUAUGUGUUGUUGGGUAGGGGAGCGUUCUGUAAGCCUGCGAAGGUGUACUGUGAGGUAUGCUGGAGGUAUCAGAAGUGCGAAUGCUGACAUAAGUAACGAUAAAGCGGGUGAAAAGCCCGCUCGCCGGAAGACCAAGGGUUCCUGUCCAACGUUAAUCGGGGCAGGGUGAGUCGACCCCUAAGGCGAGGCCGAAAGGCGUAGUCGAUGGGAAACAGGUUAAUAUUCCUGUACUUGGUGUUACUGCGAAGGGGGGACGGAGAAGGCUAUGUUGGCCGGGCGACGGUUGUCCCGGUUUAAGCGUGUAGGCUGGUUUUCCAGGCAAAUCCGGAAAAUCAAGGCUGAGGCGUGAUGACGAGGCACUACGGUGCUGAAGCAACAAAUGCCCUGCUUCCAGGAAAAGCCUCUAAGCAUCAGGUAACAUCAAAUCGUACCCCAAACCGACACAGGUGGUCAGGUAGAGAAUACCAAGGCGCUUGAGAGAACUCGGGUGAAGGAACUAGGCAAAAUGGUGCCGUAACUUCGGGAGAAGGCACGCUGAUAUGUAGGUGAAG
rnacentral:rRNA from 1 species